AUCUGUAGACUUGCAGCCGUUUAGCUGCUGUGAGAGGAACAGCGACCUCUGGCGUGCGUCCUGCGUAUUCAACUUGGAAUACAUGGAAGAAAGAAAAGAUGCUUCCUCAGUUCCAACAGAAUAUGGUGAAGCAAAUAUCAAAGAAUGGAAAAGGAUAAGUGUCAAAAUAAAAAAUCCUGUAAACAAUGUGCGAUAUUGCGUAAGACUACUGGAUCUUCAUAACAUCACAGAUGUGAUCAAUGUAUGGGGGCAGAUUUACUAGGGUGAAGUGGCCGUUGCUUUCGAAAAUUCGCCAGAAAUCCAAUCCGCAGGGACAUCGACAAUUUACUAACAGGCAUAGAGAACAAUUGCUAGCAAAAGAGACCAUCGCUAGCGUAGUUUUGCAUCCUAUUGCCAGGCGAAUUUUCCGUCAGCGAACGAUCGUUAUUCCGCAAAAUUUACUAAAUGUUACCUCUUUCGCCAGAGUUUCCUUUGCCAGCUUAGACCAGGCGAACUGAUAAAAUUAAGCUAAAUCUUCCUCAAUCUUAUGUCAGUGACAUCAUAUCCUGUA